AUUGAACGCUGGCGGCAGGCCUAACACAUGCAAGUCGAACGAGUGGCGGACGGGUGAGUAAUGCCUGGGAAACUGGCUGAUGGAGGGGGAUAACUACUGGAAACUGUAGCUAAUACCGCGUACCAUAGGAUGAGCCCAGGUGGGAUUAGGUAGUUGGUGGGGUAAAGGCUCACCAAGCCGACGAUCCCUAGCUGGUCUGAGAGGAUGACCAGCCACACUGGGACUGAGACACGGUCCAGACUCCUACGGGAGGCAGCAGUGGGGAAUAUUGCGCAAUGGGCGCAACCCUGAUGCAGCCAUGCCGCGUGUAUGAAGAAGGCCUUCGGGUUGUAAAGUACUUUCGGUGGCGAGGCGUUAACCGCAGAAGAAGCACCGGCUAACUCCGUGCCAGCAGCCGCGGUAAUAC
rnacentral:rRNA from 1 species